UUGGUAAACUUGUCGAAAGGCAGGGACACAAAGCCACGGGUCUACGGUCUGCUCUCGCAGGAGGGCGGGCUAUGACAGCCGGUUGCCA
rnacentral:ncRNA from 1 species